rnacentral:rRNA from 1 species
AACGAACGCUGGCGGCAUGCUUAACACAUGCAAGUCGAACGAGAACACUUGGACUGGACGCUUCGGGGCGCAUAUCGAGUGGAUUAGUGCCCGUCGGUUGGGUAACACUUGACUAACGGGCCGUUAACAUUGGGUAAUCCUCGCGGAACCGGGAUUUAUAGCAUUUAGAUUCGUACUCGCUCGUUUCGUUACUUUGAAAAGUCCGAGGGUCUAGGAUGGACCCGCGUUGCAUUAGCUAGUUGGUAGAGUAAAAGCCUACCAAGGCGACGAUGGGUAGCUGGUCUGAGAGGAUGAACGGCCACACUGGAACUGAGACACGGCCCAGACUCCUACGGGAGGCAGCAGUGGGGAAUAUUGCACAAUGGAGGGAACCCUGAUGCAGCGACGCCGCGUGAACGAAGAAGGCCUUAGAGUUGUAAAGUUCUUUUAUCUGGGAAGAUAAUGACGGUACCAGAAGAAAAAGCCCCGGCUAACUACGUG